rnacentral:rRNA from 1 species
UACGUAGGGUGCGAGCGUUGUCCGGAAUUAUUGGGCGUAAAGAGCUCGUAGGCGGCUUGUCACGUCGGGUGUGAAAGCCCGGGGCUUAACCCCGGGUCUGCAUUCGAUACGGGCUAGCUAGAGUGUGGUAGGGGAGAUCGGAAUUCCUGGUGUAGCGGUGAAAUGCGCAGAUAUCAGGAGGAACACCGGUGGCGAAGGCGGAUCUCUGGGCCAUUACUGACGCUGAGGAGCGAAAGCGUGGGGAGCAAACAGG